GAUGAACGCUGGCGGCGUGCCUAAUACAUGCAAGUCGAGCGAACGGACGAGAAGCUUGCUUCUCUGAUGUUAGCGGCGGACGGGUGAGUAACACGUGGAUAACCUACCUAUAAGACUGGGAUAACUUCGGGAGACCGGAGCUAAUACCGGAUAAUAUUUUGAACCGCAUGGUUCAAAAGUGAAAGACGGUCUUGCUGUCACUUAUAGAUGGAUCCGCGCUGCAUUAGCUAGUUGGUAAGGUAACGGCUUACCAAGGCAACGAUGCAUAGCCGACCUGAGAGGGUGAUCGGCCACACUGGAACUGAGACACGGUCCAGACUCCUACGGGAGGCAGCAGUAGGGAAUCUUCCGCAAUGGGCGAAAGCCUGACGGAGCAACGCCGCGUGAGUGAUGAAGGUCUUCGGAUCGUAAAACUCUGUUAUUAGGGAAGAACAUAUGUGUAAGUAACUGUGCACAUCUUGACGGUACCUAAUCAGAAAGCCACGGCUAACUACGUGCCAGCAGCCGCGGUAAUACGUAGGUGGCAAGCGUUAUCCGGAAUUAUUGGGCGUAAAGCGCGCGUAGGCGGUUUUUUAAGUCUGAUGUGAAAGCCCACGGCUCAACCGUGGAGGGUCAUUGGAAACUGGAAAACUUGAGUGCAGAAGAGGAAAGUGGAAUUCCAUGUGUAGCGGUGAAAUGCGCAGAGAUAUGGAGGAACACCAGUGGCGAAGGCGACUUUCUGGUCUGUAACUGACGCUGAUGUGCGAAAGCGUGGGGAUCAAACAGGAUUAGAUACCCUGGUAGUCCACGCCGUAAACGAUGAGUGCUAAGUGUUAGGGGGUUUCCGCCCCUUAGUGCUGCAGCUAACGCAUUAAGCACUCCGCCUGGGGAGUACGACCGCAAGGUUGAAACUCAAAGGAAUUGACGGGGACCCGCACAAGCGGUGGAGCAUGUGGUUUAAUUCGAAGCAACGCGAAGAACCUUACCAAAUCUUGACAUCCUUUGACAACUCUAGAGAUAGAGCUUUCCCCUUCGGGGGACAAAGUGACAGGUGGUGCAUGGUUGUCGUCAGCUCGUGUCGUGAGAUGUUGGGUUAAGUCCCGCAACGAGCGCAACCCUUAAGCUUAGUUGCCAUCAUUAAGUUGGGCACUCUAAGUUGACUGCCGGUGACAAACCGGAGGAAGGUGGGGAUGACGUCAAAUCAUCAUGCCCCUUAUGAUUUGGGCUACACACGUGCUACAAUGGACAAUACAAAGGGCAGCGAAACCGUGAGGUCAAGCAAAUCCCAUAAAGUUGUUCUCAGUUCGGAUUGUAGUCUGCAACUCGACUACAUGAAGCUGGAAUCGCUAGUAAUCGUAGAUCAGCAUGCUACGGUGAAUACGUUCCCGGGUCU
rnacentral:rRNA from 1 species